rnacentral:rRNA from 1 species
GGACGAACGCUGGCGGCGCGCUUAACACAUGCAAGUCGAGCGAGAACCAGGGGCUUCGGCUCUGGGGGACAGCGGCGAACGGGUGAGUAACACGUGAGUAAUCUGCCCUCGACACUGGGAUAGCCCGGGGAACCGGAUUAAUACCGGAUAGCCUUUCGAGCUCUCGGGCUCGUCAGAAAAGGAUGGCUUCGGCUUUCGGUU